AAUAUAUUGAGUAAAUGCGAUUUUGAAAAUUAGAAUUUUGUACAAAUGUAUGUACUUCAUGUAGUAUUUGUUUUUGAAUGAGUAAUUAACUAUCAACUAUCAUUGUUUGAUAUUACAUGUACAUUAAACAGACACAUCGUUUAAUUUUGUAUCACGUGUUUAAGUUCAAUUAUCUGUUGUUUUCUACAGAUCAUGUAAUGAUAUUUGUUGAAUGCAAAAUUAUUACUAUAGAAAUAUACAUGACAGUGAUUACUGAAAAUUGUUGUAUAUUGUAAAAAUGGUUGAUCAAAUAAAAUGCCAAAAUUAU
rnacentral:misc_RNA from 1 species